rnacentral:lncRNA from 1 species
UUUGAAUGAGCAAAUAAAUGACCUUCAUUUGUUUAUGAUUGUUUUGCCUGAUUUUAAUGACAGAAAAGGGAAGCACCGGCAGGUGAGAAGCCAGAGCCAGUGCGUACUCAUCUGCGCAACAUGAUUAUUGUUCCUGAGAUGAUCGGUAGUAUAAUUGGAGUUUACAAUGGCAAGACCUUCAAUCAAGUUGAAAUCAAACCUGAAAUGAUUGGCCACUAUCUCGCUGAAUUUUCAAUUUCAUACAAACCUGUCAAGCACGGUAGACCUGGUAUCGGUGCCACUCACUCUUCUAGGUUCAUUCCUCUCAAGUGACAACAUAUAUGCUCUAGUAAUUUCUUCCGGCCUAUUGGAUUUUGUUUGUUAUUUCAGUGUUUUAUUUUCAGUUCCUUAUUUUAUGGUUUAUCAUGACUUGAUUCCAUAUAUGAACAUUGUAGUGUUUGUUUUAUUUUCACAAUUUAAAGCAUGAAUUUAUCGAAAUAGUCGUUUAAACUUGAUAUGCGGAUGUGUUAAUUGCUGCUGAGUGCCUUUGCUCCGUGCUGUGCUGGGUCUUUCUUUGACUUACUGGUGUGCGAUUAUGUAACAACUC